CUGUGUCUUCAGGCUUAUGCACACUACUUUCAAAUAAUAUCAAUCCUUCUUGAGAAUUUGGCUUUGCCCGGAUUUUAAUAUGAAUUUCCCUGCGCUCACCUGGUGAAAGUGAAAACGGUUGGCUACUCUCGACAGUAAAUGUUGGGAGGUUAAAUUCUUCAAAUUGGAGUUCAUAUAAUCGAUCUGCUGUGAUACUUUUAUCCGCUAUAGCUUGCUCAAAAGCUUUGGAUGAACUGUCCUCAAAAAGAACAGAUAUGUGAGAUGCCUCAACAAAAGACGUA